rnacentral:rRNA from 1 species
GACGAACGCUGGCGGCGUGCUUAACACAUGCAAGUCGAACGAUGAAGCCUAGCUUGCUAGGUGUAUUAGUGGCGAACGGGUGAGUAAUACGUGAGUAACCUACCUUUAACUCUGGGAUAAGCCCUGGAAACUGGGUCUAAUACCGGAUACGACCAAUCUCCGCAUGGGGUGUUGGUGGAAAGCGUUAUGUAGUGGUUAUAGAUGGGCUCACGGCCUAUCAGCUUGUUGGUGGGGUAACGGCUCACCAAGGCGACGACGGGUAGCCGGCCUGAGAGGGUGACCGGCCACACUGGGACUGAGAUACGGCCCAGACUCCUACGGGAGGCAGCAGUGGGGAAUAUUGCACAAUGGGCGGAAGCCUGAUGCAGCGACGCCGCGUGAGGGAUGACGGCCUUCGGGUUGUAAACCUCUGUUAGCAGGGAAGAAGAGAGAUUGACGGUACCUGGAGAGAAAGCGCCGGCUAACUACGUG